rnacentral:lncRNA from 7 species
UAGAGCUGUCAUAAGUCAAUAUUUUUUUGUUUGAUUGAUCUCCCCUGUUUUGUGUUAAUGUUUGAGUUAAAUGGUAACUACAAAACUGACAUGAGCGAUUUAAGCAGAUGCAUCCUCCCUUGUUAAUGUGGUCCAAACCAACACUUGCAAGAACUCCCUUGUUUAAGCCAAUGGUAGUUGAAAUGGGCCAUUGAGGGAGGCCAGCAUUGGUACACCUGCAAGAAUGGGGAUCCAACAGACAUAGCUGCAAUGGCGGUCACUGUUUUCAAGUCAUCUGAUUAAUCACGAUUAGUCGCGAUUAAUCGUCCAAGUCGGUUUGAAUCAAUCAUGAUUAAUCGCCCAAAUUGUCCAACUAAAUGUGAUUAAUCACGAUUAAUCGUCCAAGUCGGUCAGUUAGAACGACCAGCAAGUUGUCCGACUUGAAAACAAUGAUGGAGGCUGACAGGGGUCCCCCAAAGUAGAUGCAGAAGAAAGCAGCUAAAGAGGCAGUUGUUAAUGUUGUACAUAAGAAAAGAAAGAGGCAAGCCCCUUCAUCAUCAUGUGUGAAGAAAAACAAGGGAUCAGUUACAAAUACAACAUCAACUACUACUCCUAAUCCUCUGUCUAGCAAGUAUAAUUUUCAAUGUGUCCAUUCGUUGUCGAUACUUGGCAAUGCCAGUUAUCAUAACUGAACUGAGUUUUGUGUUUCUUUAUCACAAUAUAUGGAACUGGAUCCAAUUUC